UACGUAGGUGGCAAGCGUUGUCCGGAUUUACUGGGCGUAAAGGAUGCGUAGGCGGACAUUUAAGUCAGAUGUGAAAUACCCGAGCUUAACUUGGGUGCUGCAUUUGAAACUGGGUGUCUAGAGAUGCAGGAGAGGUAAGUGGAAUUCCUAGUGUAGCGGUGAAAUGCGUAGAGAUUAGGAAGAACACCAGUGGCGAAGGCGACUUACUGGACUGUAACUGACGCUGAGGCAUGAAAGCGUGGGGAGCAAACAGG
rnacentral:rRNA from 1 species